rnacentral:lncRNA from 1 species
UUUAUGUUUUUAUUGAUUUCCAUUGAUUUCUUUUACAUAUUUCGCCCCUUUUACAUACUUUAUACAUAUUUCUUCCUUUUUUUUUACAUAUUUUAUUUCUCCCCCUUUUUGUCAUCAUAUCAAAAAGGAGGUAAUCACACACAAUCAAUGGCACAACCAAUCAUCAAAUGGCACAUAAUUGAAGAUAAAAUGUCUACUCAUUGUAUUGAUAUGAAUGUGAAUACAUGUGAGAAUACAAUAAGUAAAGUAAAACAAGACAAAACACAAAAAACAUCUAUGGCCUCCUCGAGGAUGAGGCACCUCCUCUCGAGGAUGUGGCUCCUCCUCUCAAUCGGCUCUGCUCCAUGAGGAGGGUGACUGCAUCUGUAACAUGGCCAAGCUGCGUGAUAAUAGACGUAGUGGCUCUGCUAUGUGUAGUGGAGAGCUCAGUCACCGACGUCUGAAGCCCAGUCACCGACGUCUGAAGUGCGUCCAGCUUGUCGAUGAGUACAUUCGACAAGCGCUCGGCCCCCUCGGUGGUGGUGUGCAUGUCACGACCUAUGUCCU